CUUGAGUCCUGUGUGAAGCUUUGGGUGCCACAAUAUAGGACAGAUAUUAAGCUACUAGAGAGUGACCAGAGGAGGGUCACAAGGAUGGUGAAGGCUCUGGAGAGGAAGCUGUAUGAGGACUGGCUGAGGUCACUUGGUCUGUUCAGCCUGGAGAAGAGGAGACUGAGGGGAGACCUCAGUUUGGUCUCCAAUAUCCUCACAAGGGGAAGCAGAAGGGCAAAGUACUGAUCCAUUC